AGUGGAUGGGGAGCAACCUAGUUGUGCGUGUGUAAAGGUAGUGCCAAGAAAAGCGAUGAUCAUGUUGAAAAUCAAUUCCCGGUACCCGAAACCGACACAGGUGGGCAAGUAGAGAAUACUAAGGGGCGCGAGGUAACUCUCUCCAAGGAACUCGGCAAAAUGACCCCGUAACUUAGGGAGAAGGGGUGCCACCGAGAGGUGGUCGCAGUGAAGAGGCCCAGGCGACUGUUUAGCAAAAACAUAGGUCUCUGCAAACUCGAAAGAGGAGGUAUAGGGGCUGACGCCUGCCCAGUGCCGGAAGGUUAAAGAAGUUGGUCAGUUUUAGGAUGAAGCUAGCGACUGAAGCCCCGGUGAACGGCGGCCGUAACUAUAACGGUCCUAAGGUAGCGAAAUUCCUUGUCGGGUAAGUUCCGACCCGCACGAAAGGCGUAACGAUCUGGGCGCUGUCUCGGAGAGAGUCUCGGCGAAAUAGGAUUGUCUGUGAAGAUACGGACUACCUGCAUUUGGACAGAAAGACCCUAUGAAGCUUUACUAUAGCUUGGAAUUGUGUUCGGGCUUCCUGUGCGCAGGAUAGGUGGGAGGCGUAGAAGGUAUUCUUGUGGGGAUACUGGAGCCAACGGUGAGAUACCACUCUCAGGAGGCUAGAAUUCUAACUUAAUUAAGGACAGUUUCAGGUGGGUAGUUUGACUGGGGCGGUCGCCUCCAAAAAGGUAACGGAGGCGUACAAAGGUUCCCUCAGACUGGUUGGAAAUCAGUCGAAGAGUGCAAAGGCAGAAGGGAGCUUGACUGCGAGAAGUACAGUUCGAGCAGGGUGGAAACACGGUCUUAGUGAUCCGACGGUGCUGUGUGGAAGGGCCGUCGCUCAACGGAUAAAAGUUACUCUAGGAUAACAGGCUGAUCUCCCCCAAGAGUUCACAUCGACGGGGAGGUUUGGCACCUCGGUGUCGGCUCAUCGCAACCUGGGGCGGAAGUACGUCCCAAGGGUUGGGCUGUUCGCCCAUUAAAGCGGUACGUAAGCUGGGUUCAGAACGUCGUGAGACAGUUCGGUCCAUAUCCGAUGUAGGCGUGAGAAUAUUGAGAGGAGCCUUCCUUAGUACGAGAGGACCGGGAAGGACGCACCGCUGGUGUACCUGUUAUGAUGCCAAUUGUAAACGCAGGGUAGCCAAGUGCGGAGAGGAUAACCGCUGAAAGCAUCUAAGUGGGAAGCCCACCUCAAGAUGAGUAUUCUGGUGUAAGGUCACGGGAAGACGACCCGUAAAUAGGCACGAGGUGGAAGUGCAGAGAUGUAUGAAGCCGAAGUGUACUAAUAGACCGUCGGCUU
rnacentral:rRNA from 1 species